CACGUAGGGUGCGAGCGUUGUCCGGAAUUAUUGGGCGUAAAGAGCUCGUAGGCGGUGUGUCGCGUCGGCCGUGAAAACCUGCAGCUUAACUGUGGGCUUGCGGUCGAUACGGGCAUCACUGGAGUUCGGCAGGGGAGACUGGAAUUCCUGGUGUAGCGGUGAAAUGCGCAGAUAUCAGGAGGAACACCGGUGGCGAAGGCGGGUCUCUGGGCCGAUACUGACGCUGGGGAGCGAAAGCGUGGGGAGCGAACAGG
rnacentral:rRNA from 1 species